CCCAGGACUUACGUCCUGGGCUGAAUUAUUCCGCCCCUAAACGGGGCU
rnacentral:sRNA from 1 species